AGUAAACGGCGGCCGUAACAAUAACGGUCCUAAGGUAGCGAAAUUCCUUGUCGGGUAAGUUCCGACCCGCACGAAAGGCGUAAUGAUUUGGGCACUGUCUCAACGAGAGACUCGGUGAAAUUUUAGUACCUGUGAAGAUGCAGGUUACCCGCGACAGGACGGAAAGACCCCAUGGAGCUUUACUGUAGUUUGAUAUUGAGUACCUGUAAGUCAUGUACAGGAUAGGUAGGAGCCAUUGAAAUAGGGACGCUAGUUUCUAUUGAGGCGUUGUUGGGAUACUACCCUUGACUUAUGGUUACUCUAACCCGCUGGCAUAAUCGGCCAGGGAGACAGUGUCUGACGGACAGUUUGACUGGG
rnacentral:rRNA from 1 species